rnacentral:rRNA from 1 species
GACGAACGCUGGCGGCGUGCUUAAUACGUGCAAGUCGAGCGAGGUUACUGUUUUGGAUCCCUUCGGGGUGAAGAAGCUUUAACCUAGCGGCGGACGGGUGAGUAACGCGUGGGUAACCUACCCCAAAGUCCGGGAUAACAGCGGGAAACCGCUGCUAAUACCGGAUGUCUUUACCUUGGGGCAUCUUGAGGUAAAGAAAGGUAACGCUUUGGGAUGGGCCCGCGUCCCAUUAGCUAGUUGGUGAGGUGACGGCUCACCAAGGCGACGAUGGGUAGCCGGCCUGAGAGGGUGGACGGCCACACUGGGACUGAGACACGGCCCAGACUCCUACGGGAGGCAGCAGUAGGGAAUAUUGCGCAAUGGACGGAAGUCUGACGCAGCGACGCCGCGUGAGCGAUGAAGGUCUUCGGAUCGUAAAGCUCUGUCCUUGGGGAAGAAGGUCUUCGGACUUGACGGUACCCAAGAAGAAAGCCCCGGCUAACUACGUGCCAGCAGCCGCGGUAAUACGUAGGGGGCGAGCGUUGUCCGGAAUUACUGGGCGUAAAGGGUGCGUAGGCGGCCCUUUAAGUCGGAUGUGAAAGCCCGCGGCUUAACCGCGGAAUGGCAUUCGAAACUGGAGGGCUUGAGUGUCGGAGAGGGUAGUGGAAUUCCCAGUGUAGCGGUGAAAUGCGUAGAUAUUGGGAGGAACACCAGUGGCGAAGGCGACUACCUGGACGAUAACUGACGCUGAGGCACGAAAGCUAGGGGAGCAAACAGG